UACGGGGGGGCAAGGCGUUGUUCGGAAUUACUGGGCGUAAGGGUGCGUAGGCGGCCUGCCAAGUUGGGUGUGAAGCCCUCGGCGUCAACCGAGGAAUUGCGCUCAAUACUGGUGGGCUCGGAGAGAGACAGAGGUAAGCGGAACUAAUGGUGGAGCGGUGGAAAUGCGUUGAUAUCAUUAGGAACACCGGUGGCGAAGGCGGCUUACGUGGUCUUUCGAC
rnacentral:rRNA from 1 species